AACGAACGCUGGCGGCAGGCCUAACACAUGCAAGUCGAGCGCUCACCUUCGGGUGGGAGCGGCGCACGGGUGAGUAACACGUGGGAACCUACCUUGAAGUACGGAAUAACUGAGGGACACUUCAGCUAAUACCGUAUACGCCCUACGGGGGAAAGAUUUAUCGCUUCAAGACGGGCCCGCGUUGGAUUAGCUAGUUGGUGAGGUAAUGGCUCACCAAGGCAACGAUCCAUAGCUGAUUUGAGAGAAUGAUCAGCCACACUGGGACUGAGACACGGCCCAGACUCCUACGGGAGGCAGCAGUGGGGAAUAUUGGACAAUGGGCGCAAGCCUGAUCCAGCCAUGCCGCGUGAGUGAUGAAGGCCUUCGGGUUGUAAAGCUCUUUCAGAUGGGACGAUGAUGACGGUACCAUCAGAAGAAGCCCCGGCUAACUUCGUGCCAGCCGCCGCAGUAACAC
rnacentral:rRNA from 1 species